UAGGGAAUCUUCGGCAAUGGGGGCAACCCUGACCGAGCAACGCCGCGUGAGUGAAGAAGGUUUUCGGAUCGUAAAGCUCUGUUGUAAGUCAAGAACGGGUGUGAGAGUGGAAAGUUCACACUGUGACGGUAGCUUACCAGAAAGGGACGGCUAACUACGUGCCAGCAGCCGCGGUAAUACGUAGGUCCCCGAGCGUUGUCCGGAUUUAUUGGGCGUAAAGCGA
rnacentral:rRNA from 1 species